UCUAAAGCUUAGGGAAUAAGAGCUGGGUAAGACGGGUGCCAGCCGCGCGGUAACACCCGCAGCUCGAGUGGUGGUCACUUUUAUUGAGCCUAAAGCGUUCGUSGCCGGUUUUGUAAAUCUCCAGGAAAAUUCUUCUGCUUAACAGAAGACCUUCGUGGAGAGACUGCAGAACUAGGGACCGGGUGAGGUUGAAGGUACUUUCUGGGUAGGGGUAAAAUAAGUUGUAAUCCUGAAAGAACGACCGGUGGGCGAAGGCGUUCAACUAGAACGGAUCCGACGGUGAGGAACGAGGGCUAGGGGAGCAAACCGGAUUAGAUACCGGGUAGUCUUAGCUGUAAACACUGCCCACUUGGUGUUGCAUCUCCUUCAUGGGGAUGCAGUGCCGUAGCGGAAGGUGUUAAGUGGGCCGCUUGGGGAGUAUGGUCGCAAGGCUGAAACUUAAAGAAUUGGCGGGGAGCACCGCAACGGAGGAGCGUGCGGUUUAAUUGGAUUCAACGCCGGAAACUCACCGGGGCGACCUUUGGAUGAGAGUCAACCUGACGAGUUUACUCGAUAGAAGGAGAGGUGGUGCAUGGCCGUCGUCAGCUCGUACCGUAAGGCGUUCACUUAAGUGUGAUAACGAGCGAGACCCCCAUCUUUCAGUUGCCAGCGUACAAGGGAUUGUGCGGGCACUUUGGAGGGACCGCCAGCGCUAAGCUGGAGGAAAGGAGGGGUCGACGGCAGGUCAGUAUGCCCCGAAUCUCCCCGGGCUACACGCGCGCUACAAAGGACAGGACAAAUGAGUUGCGACCUCGAAAGGGAAGCCAACCCUCGAAACCUGUUCGUAAGUGAGGAUUGAGGGCUGUCACUCGCCCUCAUGAA
rnacentral:rRNA from 1 species